AACCAGACAAACCUUACCUCUCUGGAGAUUACCUUCCAGGCGGCAAACAGCUCUUCAGUUUGACUCUGAAGAAACUCGUCAUGCUGAAAGAAAUGGACAAAGAUCUCAACUCUGUGGUCAUUGCCGUGAAGCUGCAGGGCUCAAAGAGGAUCCUCCGCUCCAACGAGAUCAUCCUUCCGGCCAGCGGGCUGGCAGAGACGGAGCUCCAGCUGACCUUCUCCCUCCAGUACCCCCACUUCCUGAAGCGGGACGCCAACAAGCUGCAGGUCAUGUUGCAGCGGAGGAAGCGCUACAAGAACAGGACCAUCCUGGGCUACAAGACCCUCGCCUUGGGGCUCAUCAACAUGGCGGAGGUGAUGCAGCACCCUAACGAAGGCGCCCUGGUGCUCGGCCUGCACAGCAACGUGAAGGACGUCUCUGUGCCUGUGGCGGAAAUAAAGAUCUACUCCCUGUCCAGCCAGCCCAUUGACCACGAAGGCAUCAAAUCCAAGCUGUCUGAUCGUUCUCCUGAUAUUGACAAUUAUUCUGAGGAAGAGGAGGAGAGUUUCUCCUCGGAACAGGAAGGCAGUGACGACCCACUACACGGGCAGGACCUGUUCUACGAGGACGAGGAUCUGCGGAAAGUGAAGAAGACCCGAAGGAAACUGACCUCGACCUCUGCCAUCACGAGGCAACCUAACAUCAAACAGAAGUUUGUGGCCCUCCUGAAGCGGUUUAAAGUUUCAGACGAGGUGGGCUUUGGGCUGGAACACGUGUCCCGGGAGCAGAUACGAGAGGUGGAGGAGGACCUGGACGAGCUCUACGACAGCCUGGAGAUGUACAACCCCAGCGACAGCGGCCCUGAGAUGGAGGAGACGGAGAGCAUCCUCAGCACCCCAAAGCCCAAGCUCAAGCCCUUCUUUGAGGGGAUGUCGCAGUCCAGCUCACAGACGGAGAUCGGCAGCCUCAACAGCAAGGGCAGCCUCGGCAAAGACACCACCAGCCCUAUGGAAUUGGCUGCUCUAGAAAAAGUCAAAUCUGCUUGGAUUAAAAAUCAAGAUGACAGCUUGACUGAGACAGACACCCUGGAGAUGACUGACCAGGACAUGUUUGGCGAUGUGAGCACAAGUCUGGUCGUGCCAGAGAAAGUCAAAACUCCCAUGAAGUCCAGCAAGACAGAUCUCCCCGGCUCUGCCUCACCCAGAGUGGACGGAGCACACACCCCACGGCAGAAGAGGAGCGCCCCCCUGAAGGAGCGGCAGCUCUCCAAGCCCCUGAGCGAGAGGACCAACAGCUCCGACAGCGAGCGGUCCCCGGACCUGGGCCACAGCACUCAGAUUCCACGAAAGGUGGUUUAUGACCAGCUGAAUCAGAUCCUGGUGUCAGAUGCGGCCCUCCCGGAAAAUGUUAUCCUCGUGAGCACCGUCGACUGGCAGGGCCAGUACGUGGCGGAGCUGCUGCAGGACCAGCGGAAGCCUGUCGUGUGCACCUGCUCCACCGUGGAGGUCCAGGCCGUGCUGUCCGCCCUGCUUACCCGCAUCCAGCGCUACUGCAACUGCAACUCCUCCAUGCCCAGGCCGGUGAAGGUGGCGGCGGUGGGCGGCCAGAGCUACCUGAGCUCCAUCCUCCGGUUCUUUGUCAAGUCGCUGGCCAGCAAGACCCCCGACUGGCUCAGCUACAUGCGCUUUCUCAUCGUCCCCCUCGGUUCUCACCCCGUGGCCAAGUACCUGGGCUCCGUCGACAGUCGAUACAGUAGCACCUUCCUUGACUCUGGCUGGAGAGACCUGUUCAGUCGCUCGGAGCCCCCCGUGUCAGAGCAACUGGACGUGGUGGGGCGGGUGAUGCAGUACGUCAGCGGGGCGGCCGUCACCCACCAGCUGCCCGUGGCCGAGGCCAUGCUGACCUGCAGGCACAAGUUCCCCGACGAAGACUCCUAUCAGAAGUUCAUCCCCUUCAUUGGCGUGGUGAAGGUGGGUCUGGUUGAAGACUCGCCAUCCACUACAGGUGACGGGGACGAUUCACCCGUGGUCAGCCUCACUGUGCCCUCCACGUCACCGCCCUCCAGCUCCGGCCUGAGCCGAGACGCCACAGCCACCCCUCCUUCCUCCCCGUCCAUGAGCAGCGCCCUCGCCGUGGUGGGGAGCCCCAACAGCCCCUACGGGGACGUGAUCGGCCUCCAGGUGGACUACUGGCUGGCCCACCCCGGGGAGCGGCGGCGGGAAGGCGACAAGAGGGACGCCAGCUCCAAGAACACCCUCAAGAGCGUGUUCCGCUCGGUGCAGGUCUCCCGCCUGCCCCAUGGCGGGGAGGCCCCGCCCUCUGGCACCAUGGCCAUGACCGUGGUCACCAAAGAGAAGAACAAGAAAGUUCCCACCAUCUUCCUGAGCAAGAAACCUCGAGAAAAGGAGGUGGAUUCCAAGAGCCAGGUCAUUGAGGGCAUCAGCCGCCUCAUCUGCUCGGCCAAGCAGCAACAGACCAUGCUGAGAGUGUCCAUCGACGGAGUCGAGUGGAGCGACAUCAAGUUCUUCCAGCUGGCAGCCCAGUGGCCCACCCACGUCAAGCACUUUCCAGUGGGACUGUUCAGUGGCAGCAAGGCCACCUGAGGGUGCUGCCUCUGGCCACACUCCCGCCCGGCACUGCCACCAGCCUCGCCGCCUGCGGGCAGGGGGAGGCCGGCAGGCCCCGCCACGUCCCCUGUCCCGGCCCUGCGGCCUGCCUCUCCCUGCCGUCCUGAAGGACACUGCCACUGGGGCCCGCUCCCCGCCCCGGGCCCCUUCCUGCUCCGCCCCUUCCCGGCUCCUGGGGCAUGUUGAUUUUGCCUUCCGGGCCUGCCUGGACUGGGUCCUCGGGGCCUGCCUUCACCUGCGUCCAGCCCUUUCCCCAGGCGAUGCCAUUUCUCCUCCUGGAAAGGGGAAGCCUGGAAUCCUGGCCUCGCCCUCCUGCCACUGGGAUCCCUCAUGUUUUUGUUUUUUCCUAAAGCCCAGCUGCCAGAUCCUACUCAGCCUGAACCCCACAGGGGACACAGGCAUGUGGGCAGGCCACUUCCACCUGCGGGGUUCUCACAGCGAAAGGGCAGCUCCCCGCCCCAGAACAGCUUCCAGGGCAGUGCCGCACACUCCUGGGAGGGAGGGGCCUUCCCGGCCUUCCCUGCACGGCUUCCUCAGCCCCCGCAGGCCUGUCGGUGUCCUGGGGGCCUGCGGUCUCUUCCGUUCUCUGCACAGCCAUCCUCUUGUGGGCCCCUGAGACUGGCCUGGACACAGGUCCCCGUCUUGUGACGCGCCUCGUGGACGACUCCGCCCCUCUGCCCCCCACCCCCAGCGCAGCUCUGCCGCCCCCUGAAGUGGCACUCGGGGCCGGGGCAGACGCCCACCCUCCGCGUGCGGGUGGCCCUGCUCCCUGGCCCACUGCCUCUUCUGGCCUGUUCCUCCCGCCUCGCUCCUGGGCCCCGGCCCGGCUGAGAGCCCACCCACCGGCCCAGGCUCGGCAGGCUCUGUCCCCUCGUUCUCACCGCAGGCUAGGGGCCCGGGGCCUGAGCCCGCCAACCUCCUCGACCUUGACCGUCAGAGCUCUCAGGAGAGGCUGCGCCCGUGGGGCCAGGCCUUGCUGCCCCCCACCCGCCCACACCGCCAGGGCUUCACGUUGCCCUCUCGCCCUUUCUGGAAGUUUUUGCACAGAACUUCAUUUUGAAAAGUAUUUUUCUCAUUCUCCAUACCUCCCCCAAACUCCUCCAGCCUUUACCCCCGCCCAGCCCUGCCGGCCAGUGUCUCCCGGGCUGGACUGCUCUCAGGCCGGAGGGUGGGGUGGGCGGAACUGAGUGAUGUCGGGUUUUUCAUUCAAAUAAACUGGUGAUUUCUUACCACCUAGCAAGCCUUGGGCCUCUGCCUCUCCCUGGGACCAGCCCCUUAACCAAUACAGCCAGAAGCAACUAGGGACAGGCCAGAAAGAAGCAACUGCCAUUUCUUAACCACGGAAGAGAGGUGUGAGUCUUGCCCAGGACGAGACCGUUCCCGGAGGCGCCGUCGAGGGGCUCUUUCCUGCUCCUUAACUGGUCUACACUCGGCCACUGCUCCCUGCCAGCCCUGCUCUGCUGCGCCUCAGCACACCCCACGCCACGGCCUCCGACGUGCCCAGUUUUUUCCCUACUUCCUUGAAAAACAUCACUGGACUUCUGGUAUCACCUCGAGUCAGUGUUGCUGUGGUCGGACGCCCGCUCGCUCACGCGGAGUUGUGGCUCUGGCAGAAGGAAGGCCGGUGGCCCGCACACAGCUCCGGGCAGGCUUCCGUCUUCGUGGAAAUGGUCGUCUGCUUCGGCUGCAAAGCUCGAACAAAGAGCUACUGUGUGCUGCUUGUCCUGUUCCUGCCUGGGCUAACAGGGUAAAGUAGUAGGGCACUUCU